rnacentral:tRNA from 1 species
AGCAGUUCGGUAGCUCGUCGGGCUCAUAACCCGAAGGUCGCAGGUUCAAAUCCUGCCCCCGCA